UCCAUCUCCCAAAAAAAAAAAAAAAAAAAAGAAAGAAAUUGCAUUUUGCUUAAUCAUAAAUUUGUGAAAGUAAUUGACUUGACUGAAACUAAAAGUAUUUUUUCUGCUUUCUGGUGUUUUAAAACCAACCUUUUGAUAAUGGACUAUUUUUAUAUCACUGUACUUAAUUUUCCAGUGUCCAUAGAAUUUGGAAUUCAUUGUAUUACCACAAUAUAUUUCUAUUUUUGGUUUUUUCCUCUCUGUGUAUUAGGGUUUAGUUUCUCAAUCAGUGUUAUAGUUUAACUUAAGAGAUCGAAAUAAAAAGAAAUAGCCGACAGUUUCCUUGACCAGCCUGUUCACGUUGGAAUCACCUCUCCUGUGUUGACCCAUGGCACAUUUUAUUUACAUGUUGAGAUGUGAGCAGCUGUCCUGCAAGGUUCUUGUGAGCCAAGGAGGUAAUAUAUGCAGACAUUAGAGGUAAGGCACAAGGUAAGAUUUGGGAAGAUUAGUCAACAUAAGGAAAGACAACCACAUUGCCUGAAGCUAGGCCUGCAAGAGAUCUAGGUUAGCACCACUUAGAUUUUAGGGGCAGGUGACUGAGAAGAUUGAGAAGAAAAGAAGAAAAUACUUUAUUGCAGAGGAGAUUAUAGCAUGACUCCAGUGAGCUGAAAAUGUUAUGAUAUUUUUCAGAGGCACUCAUCAAAUCUGAUAUGUAGGCUGUUGAUGUACAGAGAAAAAAUAUUGAGACCUACCUAGCAUUCAUAGAGAGUCAGAGAAAGAAAAGAUGGAAGAGGGAUCUACUCAUAGCAACACAAGUGGCAAUGGCUGUGAUAGGCUUUUGUUCUAUAUCAGGUUUCUUUUAUUAUUAUUAUUAUUAUUAGCAGGGAUAUUGAUGGUUGGGGCUGGAUGAUGCUUGGUUGUAGAAGGUUGUUUGCAGCAUUGUAGGUUAUGUAACAGCAUUCCUAGCCUUUACUAACUAGAUCUGAGUAGCACCUGCUAAGUUGGGACAGCUGGAUAUGUCUCUAGAUAUUGCCAAACAUUCCCUGGGGGAACAAAAUUGUCCCCACUUGAAAAUUACCCCUGCUGUUCUAUAUAUUAAAAACGAGAGCCCUGCACAUGUUUCCCAUCCCCUUAUCAUGAGAAGACACGUGACUUAAUAAUCUUGUGAUUAAUAUUUAAUAAAGAAUCUCACCAUGAAGUUACAUGAUGGUGCUGAAUCACAGGCACAGGACCUCACACCCUGUAAGUGGGACCUGUCUCUUCCCUCCCUUCUACUGGUAUUCAAUAAGAAUGGAGCCAAAAGCCACAUCUUCAAUAAAGCACAUAACAGAGAAGCAUGUAUGUUCCUACUUCUCUGAUAUGUAUUUACUGUUUUCUGUUAAUUUUUAAUUCUGUAAUUAAUAAUGAGUUCAGUAUUAAAAAUAUUAAAACAUUAUUUUCAGCAUUAGAGUAAAUUAGAGAAUCUGAAAACCCUCCUGCCAUACCUACAAAUAUCUAAAAUAUAGUAAACAUUCUUUUAACUACAUAGCUAUGUACACAAAAGUAAAGAGUUUCUAUUGACCAAAACUGGUGCUCAGGGCCUGAAACCCAUGAAGUGAUAUUGUGUUAGAUUUCCCGUGUUUGUUGCCAAGAUCCUUGAGUUUUAAGAGCCACAAUAAUAUAAAAAACAAAGCCUUGAAUUCAUGCAAGCAGGAGAGUUGGAACUGAAAACCUCCAGAAAACUGAUCCUUCCUAGGCUAUAAAUGUAAUGAAAGGUUUGAUUUAGGGAAGAAAGUCAGCAGACAGCACCAGAUGACAAGUUGGCUUCUUUCUUUUAAAAUUUUAUUAGGCAUUAAAACCAAAAGAUUCCCAGCAUUACCUUCCAAUUAAAAAUAAUGUUAAUAAAAAUAAUUUUAAAACAAAAAACCUCCAAACCCCCAAAGAUUUACCUUAUUAUUGAAAGACAUGGGCCUAUACUUAACAGUUUAAAUUGUAAGUUUACAUUAACUCUAUUAUACUGUACAGGAGCCUCUGAGCUGAGAAAUUACACAAAAAUGACCCUGGCAGGUAGUACUUCCACAGGAAAGCAAUUAAAAGCCCUCUGUAGAAGAACGCAUUGUCCAUCUUGGCGACAUAAUCCCAACUGUUACAUGUCUCAACGUGUCACAAGACAAAAAUAUAAAAAACAAACAUGCAGUCCCUAACAGAGCUAAGGAGCAGUAAAUUAGACAUUCCAGAGCUUCAAAUUAUAGAAAUACCAGGAAAGCCAUAAAAGAAGAAAUAUUAAAAACAUGAGAAAUGAAUAUUAUAUUAUUUUUAAAAAAAGACAAAGUAGGUUUCAAAAAUAUCCAAAUAUAACUCCAGGAGAUGAAAUAAAAAACCUGACUGAUGAGGUUCAAGUCUCAUUGAGUUACCCACCAUUUCUAUCUCUGUUCUCUCUUUUCCAAUGCUAAACUCUGUUCAGUGUGUUCAUUUCCCAUGCUGUGUGUAUGUGUGCAUCCAUAAAAACUAUGUAGUAUUGUUUGUAUUCUUUAGUGUUAGUGGUAUUAGUCCAUAUAUAUUGUUCUGAAAAUUAAUUUUUAUCAUUCAACAUUAGUUUUUGGAGAUGUAGCCAUAUUGCAUAUGGAUCUAGCUUGUUUUUUCUUUUUUCACUUGUAUGCACAGUAUAAAUAUACCAGCUUACUUAUACAUUUUUUUCCUUAGUGGACCAUAGUUGGCUUAUGUAUUUUUUGUUAUAAACCAUGUUGCAAGGGACUCCCUACGUUUAUCUCUCAGCGCAUAAUUGCGAAUGUUUCUCUAUGAUAAAUACCACAAAGUAGAAUUUCUGAGUUAGAAAUUACGCACAUCUUUAUUUUAAUAUAUACCUCCAUAUUGCCCUUUAAAAUAUCACGACAGUUGGCCCCUUCCCCUGAUCCACAUAUUAGGCUUAUAUUUUACUUUUUGAAGAGGUAAGCAUAAAUUUUGGAUACUGAAUUUUUACUUUUUAUAGAAGUUGCAAAUAUUUUUUCCCACUUGCCUUUAAACUUGUAUGCGGUGCUUUUUAGUUGUGAAGAAGUUUUAUUAUAUGUUUUCUCCUAUUAUUUGUAUACUUUUCCACCUUUUGCUUUUUAACCCAUAUGUGAUAUAGUUUUAUAUUUUGUAUGUGAUAAGGAACUAAUUUUGUGGUUAUUGUUUUGUACUGUUAGCCAGCAUCUCAACACUCUCUAAAAGAAUAGUUCUCCUUUUUCUGAUAGUUUUGAAAUAUCACUGUAAUUAUAUUUCGGCUCCCAUACUCUGUUCUGUUUCUCUACUCUUUCAUUGUUUUACAAAGUUAUUAAAGUAUUUCCCAAAGCAAGAAGUACAUUUUACUUUGUAACCUGAUGCACCAUUCACGCACAUGUGAAACAAAACAUUCCUCAAAUGACACCCACACCUAAUAUGCUUAUUAUAUUCUGAUAAUUUCUUUUAUUCCAAUCCAUUAAUAAACAAAUCUGGUGAUAACUAUUAAGUUGAUUUCCUGAUCCACUAAUAGAUUUUGGCUUGCAGUCUGAAAAGUUUGACCUGUUAAUUCAUUAAUUUUAAUUCAUUAAUUUCUUGGCAUUUUGUGAUAUUAAGAUGUUAGUAUUAUUUUUAAAACAUUGUAUCUUUUUAUCUCUGUUCUUUUUUAAGAAACAGAUUUUCUUUCUUGGAGUUUAAUUCUUUCACAUACACUUUAAAAUUGGGUUUCGUAAAAAGUGCUUUUGGAAUUUGACUGAUUCUUCACUUACUCUUUAGAUUUAUUUUGGAGAAAAUUAAUAUUUUUAUGCUAUUACCAUCUACGAUUUAGAUCUCAUUUGAUUUAGAGUGUCUAUUGCACUUAAUUAAACUUAAUUGUAAUUUAUUUUUGAGUUAUACAUCCCCUGCUGGAUUAAUACUUUUAAAAUCACCUCUGUAUCACAUAUAGCAUAUAAAAAUAUUAACAAAUUUAUUUGAGACAAUGAAUGAGUCAACUGUGUGAGACAAGAACUUCUUAUACAUUUCUUGCAUAUCUCCUAAAGUACUUUCUGCCUAGAAUUCCUCAUAUAAUUGAUGAGGCAGAAUUUUAAUAUGCUUGAACCUUCAGUCUAAGGCAAGGUGCCUUAUCUGUCUACAGAUGUGAUUCUGCAUUGUAAACCCUCUAUUCCAGGAGCCAGUUGCAUUAUUACAACCACUUCAACAAAAAUUUAUUGAAAGCCCGGUUUACAAUGAUGAACAUGGCAGACUUCCCUUUCUGCCACCCCCCCCCGUGUCAUACAGUUUAUGUUUUAAUGGGGAGAGACAAUGAA